UACGAGGGGGGCAAGCGUUGUUCGGAUUUAUUGGGCGUAAAGGGUGCGUAGGCGGCGUGGUAAGUCAGAUGUGAAAUCCCGGGGCUCAACCCCGGAACUGCAUCCGAUACUGCCAUGCUAGAGGAUUGGAGAGGUAGCUGGAAUUCUUGGUGUAGCAGUGAAAUGCGUAGAGAUCAAGAGGAACACUCGUGGCGAAAGCGAGCUACUGGACAAUUCCUGACGCUGAGGCUCGAAGGCUAGGGUAGCGAAAGGG
rnacentral:rRNA from 1 species